rnacentral:rRNA from 1 species
UGGGGAAUAUUGGACAAUGGGGGGAACCCUGAUCCAGCGAUGCCGCGUGUGUGAAGAAGGCCUGCGGGUUGUAAAGCGACUUUAGUUGGGGAGGAAAGGUAUGUACUGCAUAAGUGCAUGCUGUGACGUUACCCAAAGAAUAAGCACCGGCUAACUACGUGCCAGCAGCCGCGGUAAUACGUAGGGUGCGAGCGUUACUCGGAAUUACUGGGCGUAAAGCGCGUGUAGGUGGCUUGUUAAGUCCGAUGUGAAAUCCCUGAACUCAAUUCAGGAACUGCAUUGGAUACUGGCAGGCUUGAGUAUAGGAGAGGUAAGCGGAAUUCCAGGUGUAGAGGUGAAAUUCGUAGAUAUCUGGAGGAACAACAGAGGCGAAAGCGGCUUACUGGACUAUUACUGACACUGAGAUGCGAAAGCGUGGGGAGCAAACAGGAUUAGAUACCCCUGUAGUCCCUGAGCGGGCUGGCAAGGCGCAU